GAUUCAAGGAAUGAAAUAUGCGAAUGCAAUGCUUGAAUCCGUGAGACGGAUUCAAGGAAUGAAAUAUGCGAAUGCAAUGCUUGAAUCCGCGAGACGGAUUCAAGGAAUGAAAGGCAUGAACGAAAUGAUUGAAUCCGCGGGACGGCUUCAAAGAAUGAAAGAGGUGAAUGCAAUAUUUGAAUUCGUGAGACGGAUUCAAAACAUGAAAGGUACGAAAGGUAUAAGUAAGGUGUUCGAAUCCACGAAACGGAUUUAAGGUAUAAACGACUAAAGCUAGUCUACUUGAGAAGAAGUCAAUAGUCUGACCAUAAUUAUGUCACACAAGUCAUAUAAGUAAACGUAAAGCAAAUUAACAAAAGUAUGAUAGGAGUGGAAAUAUCCGAAGGUGUAAGUAAUUACGAACCAGACAAGUAAAUGUUUCUUAAGUGAUAUGAUUCAAACUAUGCUUAAAUUUUCAUAUAUAUUUAUAUAUAUAUAUGAAUGUAUUUAUGCGAAUGCGUUGCAUGCGAGAAGGUCGAAAGGAUAAACGGGUCAUGCAGGUCAGAUGGCGAUUGCCAUUUGGGCUCGUUAGUUAAUGUUUUGAUAUUUUAAGUUUUGUACUCGUAGGUGAGCUUGAUGAAUGGACACGCAAUGUCACUAAUCGGAAAGGAAUGAUCUUCGUAAGGUAUGGAUAACAAAUCAACGGAAUCUACUUCCGUCAGGUAUGUAUAAAAAGAGUUAUAACUUAAAUAGGAGGUUAUGACUCGACUAGAGACUGAUGUAUUAGAAUAGAAUAUAUAUAUAUACAAACCGAAAUGCAAAAAUGUAGAAUGAAUUUCAAAAUGUUCGUAAUGAUCGCCAAGUGGUAUAGAACUUGAAUGCUCGUAACUGUGGAAAUCCUGAUAGAAUGUAAGAGAUGACAAGUAUCGUAAGAAAUACUAACCUUGAUGCUCGGCUUAUUGUCCAUGUUCAUUUGAACAAGACAUUGUAGAAAAGAUACGCAUGGCAUAAAUAACAAAAGUGACCAUGGAAAUAAUGCCUAAUUUUCGUGUUAAGUAUGGAUAAGUGAGUUUAAGAAGGGUGAUUAUAAGUAAGAAUUGGCAUAUCGAUAGUCUAUGAUAUGCGUAUAAUGAUACGUCGACCCUUCUAUGAAAGUGAAAUGUAAGUAGGAGGGACUAUAGUAACGGGAUGAUAGGGUUUGCUCGUGGUGAGCAGAAUGAAACAAUGUAUAUGAUAUAAUAAUAGAAUGAAAUAAAUCACAAAAAGUAAAAAUGACACUAAUAAGGGCUCUGGAUAAGUUUCUGACCUUUCAUGUGUUUAUGAAAGUAAAUUACUAAUUUAAGAAGAUAAGAACAAUGUGUACGAUUAUAUUUAUUUAUGGUUAAGAUUUUUAUGCAAAGACCCCGAAUGAGUUAUGUUGUAGUGUGCCCAUUGAAUGAGUACAAUAGAAAGGUAAAUGUAGGAACGAGAGAGGUUUCGGGGACGAAACCUUCUUUAAGGGGGGUAGACUUGUAACACCCCAAAAUUCGAAUUAUUAAAUUCAUUAGCAUGUUAUCAUGAUUAAUAAAAUGUGAGAAAUAUGUUAUUUAACUUGGUUACCGAUACAAGUUACAUAGUAGUAAUAAAGAUUGGUGCAUAAACAAUUACCACACUAAACUUAAGGGGCUAAAGGUGACAUGUUAUGAAAGUUGAAUUAAUAAAAAUGAAAUAAAAAAAAAUAAAACACACACAUCAGAUGUGUGUGUGUGUUCGACGCCAGAGCCAAGAGAAGAAGGGGAAACCUUUUCUAAUCACACAAAUUCAUCCAAUUGAAGCCCUAAUCAUGGCCAUUGCUCAUGCAUGUUGGUGAUUUCUUGAUCAUCUAGACUUACUAAAGCUUAAGGAACGUGUCAAGGAGAGCUCAAGCAUAGGAGGAUAACGGGUCAAGAUAAGGCAAGGUGACAAAUACACUUAUUGGAGUACUCAAGGUAAGUGAUUUCCGUAGUCACUUCUUAGUUUGUUUAAGUAAUACAACGCUUUAUAUAAUUAGACAUGAUGUUUGAUGUCAAUUAUGCGUUGAAGUCUUUCAUUGUGCAUAAUGGGAAUAAAGUUGAUUAAAACGCCCUUGAUGGGUAUCUUGGGCGAACAAUCUUAAAGUAGACUAUAAGGAAGCUAUUCGAUUAGUGUAAUGGUUAUGGUCUAGUGUGAAAAUGUGGAGUAUGGUUUUGUAUGUCAUAAACCACUUAAUGCGUAAAUAACCAUAACGGGUCGAAAAUAAGCAUUUGAGCGAAAAUGGGUUAAGAGGAUGCAAGACAUCCGAGAAUUUAAUCUUUUAUGAUAGACGUCAACGAAAUUAUUAAGUUCAUAUGAGAUUGAGGUCAAAUAAUCAGAUUAUGUUGAUAUACGCUCGAACGGGUCAAAUAGUUAGAAAAUGAUUAUAAGUCGAAUGCAUGUAAGUUAAGAAUUUCCUUAAUCCGGAUGUAGGAUUUUAAGUUCAUAUGAAAGAAUGUGAAUUUACAAGCAUGUAGGAAGAAACGGGAGGUUAAAUGGUUUAAAAGUUAUGCGAGUUUUAGUGCGUUCGAACGACGAAAACAACACAGCAGAAAAAUGGCAAAAGCAGAGGCCGUCGCCGAUGCCCCUAUGGGCCGUCGCCGACGCCUCGUGCUUUUUCAGUUUGCUCCGACGUCCUAUUUUCCUGUCUACGGGGUUUUUAAGCUACGGGAAAAACUAAAAGCCGUCGCCGACGCCCUAUAGGGCCGUCGCCGACGGCCUCCCCAUGUUUAGAAUGCUGAAAUUUGUUAACUAAGUUGUUUAAUGUAUCGUAAGCUUCAGUAUAUCAACCGUGGUCUAUGGUAAGCCUUCUAAACCAAAUUUUGGGUGUUCUCUUGAUGUUUUUGGGUUCUAAACCCAAGAAUAAGCACCGUAUAAAUAAUGUACGAAUACGAUGAGUGAAUACGAACAAGUUAAACAAGAAUUGGAUGUAAGUAAAAUAUGCGUAGACACGAAUAUGUAAGCACGCAAGUACGUAUGCAGGUAUGCUUGGUUUCAAUAUGUUUGGGUAAGGAUCUCACUAACAAUGUGCUUGAGAUUGUAGGUAAUGCAGGAAUGAGAAUGACGGAUUCUCGUGGAAUGGAAGCUGGACUCGGAACGAGAGAAUCCGAGAGGAUAGUCGGAUAAAUCAAAGUUUACUUUGUCGAAUGUUAUACUAUUUAAUUAUAUGUGAAUUUGGUUGUACGAUGAUGUCAAUGACUAAUGGUUAAGUUGUAUGUGAUGCCCACAGGUACUACUCGGACUUCUUCUACUUUUAAGGAUGAUAAGCGGGCGUGGAUCGAGUCGAAGAGCAAGGAUUGUACGGAAAGAACGGCCACAUAGUUUGAAAUACGUAAUGCUUUGAAACGUUAAUUUAAUGUAAAUAUUGUAAACCUCUUCCAGUAAGCGCUUAACAUUUUCGUAUUUGAGCUUUUAUGUAAGUAAUGUGUCUAAUAAAGAAAGAAAUUUUAAGGCUC